rnacentral:rRNA from 1 species
UACGUAGGGGGCGAGCGUUGUCCGGAAUCAUUGGGCGUAAAGAGCGUGUAGGCGGACUGGAAGGUCUGGUGUGAAAGCCCGGGGCUCAACCCCGGAGGGUCACUGGAAACCAACAGUCUUGAAUCUGGAAGAGGAGAGUGGAAUUCCUGGUGUAGCGGUGGAAUGCGCAGAUAUCAGGAGGAACACCGGUGGCGAAGGCGGUUCUCUGGGCAUUACCUGACGCUGAGGAGCGAAAGUGUGGGGAGCGAACAGG